UACGUAGGGUGCAAGCGUUGUCCGGAAUUAUUGGGCGUAAAGGGCUCGUAGGCGGUCCAUCGCGUCGGGAGUGAAAAGCUGGGGCUUAACCCCAGUCCUGCUUCCGAUACGGGUGGACUAGAGGUAGGUAGGGGAGAACGGAAUUCCUGGUGUAGCGGUGAAAUGCGCAGAUAUCAGGAGGAACACCGGUGGCGAAGGCGGAUCUCUGGGCCUUACCUGACGCUGAGGCGCGAAAGCUAGGGGAGCGAACAGG
rnacentral:rRNA from 1 species